CGUGAGCAAUCUGCCUUGGAGUGGGGAAUAACGGCUGGAAACAGCCGCUAAUACCGCAUGAAGCAGCUGGGAGGCAUCUCCCUGGCUGCCAAAGAUUUAUCGCUCUGAGAUGAGCUCGCGUCUGAUUAGCUGGUUGGCGGGGUAACGGCCCACCAAGGCGACGAUCAGUAGCCGGACUGAGAGGUUGGCCGGCCACAUUGGGACUGAGACACGGCCCAGACUCCUACGGAAGGCAGCAG
rnacentral:rRNA from 1 species